rnacentral:tRNA from 2 species
GGAGAGUUGUCCGAGCUGGCCGAAGGAGCACGAUUGGAAAUCGUGUAGGCGACUUAUACUCGUCUCAAGGGUUCGAAUCCCUUACUCUCCG